rnacentral:rRNA from 1 species
UACGAAGGGGCUAGCGUUGCUCGGAAUCACUGGGCGUAAAGCGCACGUAGGCGGACUCUUAAGUCGGUGGUGAAAUCCUGGAGCUCAACUCCAGAACUGCCUUCGAUACUGAGAGUCUUGAGGUCCGGGAGAGGUGAGUGGAACUGCGAGUGUAGAGGUGAAAUUCGUAGAUAUUAGGAAGAACACCAGUGGCGAAGGCGGCUCACUGGUCCGGAACUGGACGCUGAG